GCCUGGCUGGCUCAGUUGGUACAGCAUGUGACUCCUGAUCUCAGGGUCACGGGUUCAAGCCCCAUGUUGGGUG